rnacentral:lncRNA from 1 species
AGGGAGGAAGGAGGUGGCAGAAGAGGCCUCGAGGAUGACGUGGGGCUGUAGAUGCAGGAGACAGCUGGAGCCUGUGGCACUGGGGCAUGGUGGGCCUCAAGGAUUUCACUGCCACCCUUGCCGAGGAGGGUACCCUGAGGCAUUCGCAGCGGCACUGAGAAGCUGAGAUGUCUGAUGCUGACUCCUGCUCGCAGGAAGAGAUGGCUCUUUUGUUUCAUACAUUUGCAGCACAGCCCUCGUAAGAGCGGGCCUUUACUGGAAAACUGGACACACGUCAUCUGGGGCUGUGAACAC